rnacentral:rRNA from 1 species
UGGAAGUCAAAAGUAGUAACAAGGUGUCCNUNGGGAUCUCCGCGGAGGGAUCAGCACAGAGUUCAAAAANUCCCAAAACCCUCGCGAACAUACCACUAGCUGCCUCGGCGGGACCUCCGCCGGGCGCCAUCGCGUGCCCUGGAAUCAGGCGCCCGCCGGGGGAGUCAAACUAUUGUUUUCACCCCAGUGGCAUCAUCUGACUGGGCUUUAUGCAAACAAACGAAUAAAAACUUUCAACAACGCAUCUCUUGAUUUUGGCAUUGAGGAAGAACGCAGAGAAAUGCGAUAAGUAAUGUGAAUUGCGGAAUUCAGUGAAUCAUAGAAUCUUUGAACCCACACUGCGCCCGCCAGUAUUCUCGCUGGCACGCCCGUGCGAGUGUCAUUUCAACCCUCCCCGCGGCAUUCGUGUCGGGGGGCUGUUGGGGAUGGACGACCGCCCACCGGCGGACGUCGUCCCUUAAAGCCAGUGGCAGCGUCGCCGGGGCCUCCUUGCGCAGUAAUUACUUCUCGCGGGCGGAGGCACACAGACGGAUGGGGGUAAAACCCCCCAUUUUCAAUGGUUGACCUCAGAUCAGGUAGGAAUACCCCCUGAAAUUAAUCAUAUCAAUUAUAGGAGGA